rnacentral:rRNA from 1 species
GACGGAGGAUGCGAGCGUUAUCCGGAAUGAUUGGGCGUAAAGGGUGUGUAGGUGGCUUGGUAAGUCCGCCGUGAAAUCCCAGGGCUCAACCCUGGACAGGCGGUGGAAACUACCAAGCUGGAGUACGGUAGGGGCAGAGGGAAUUUCCGGUGGAGCGGUGAAAUGCGUAGAGAUCGGAAAGAACACCAACGGCGAAAGCACUCGGCUGGGCCGACACUGACACUGAGAGACGAAAGCUAGGGGAGCGAAUGGG